rnacentral:lncRNA from 1 species
UACUGCUGAGCAGGGUGGACGGCUACCUAUGUGGUUGGUAGUCUACGGCUGAGUGACAUGUGGUUUGGUAGUCUACUGGCUGAGCUAUGUGGUUUGGUAGUCUACUGGCUGAGCUAUGUGGUUUGGUAGUCUACUGGCUGAGCUAUGAGGUUUUGUAGUCUACUGGCUGAGCUUUGUGGUUUGGUAACCUACUGGUUAGCUAUAGUUGCUAUGUGGUUUGGUAACCUACUGGUUAGCUGUAGUUGCUAUGUGGUUUGGUAGGCUGUUGGGUUAACUGUGGUUGCUAUGUGGUUUGGUAGUCUGUUGGGUUAGCUGUAGUUGCUAUGUGGCUUGAUAGGCUGUUGGGUUAGCUUCAGUUGCUAUGUGGCUUGGUAGCC